rnacentral:rRNA from 1 species
ACGCUGGCGGCAGGCUUAACACAUGCAAGUCGAACGGUAACAGGGAUUAGCUUGCUAAUCUGCUGACGAGUGGCGGACGGGUGAGUAAUGCUUGGGAAUCUGGCUUAUGGAGGGGGAUAACUACGGGAAACUGUAGCUAAUACCGCGUAAAAUCUUCGGAUUAAAGGGUGGGACUUUCGAGCCACCUGCCAUAAGAUGAGCCCAAGUGGGAUUAGGUAGUUGGUUAGGUAAAGGCUGACCAAGCCGACGAUCUCUAGCUGGUCUGAGAGGAUGACAGCCACACUGGAACUGAGACACGGUCCAGACUCCUACGGGAGGCAGCAGUGGGGAAUAUUGCACAAUGGGGGGAACCCUGAUGCAGCCAUGCCGCGUGAAUGAAGAAGGCCUUCGGGUUGUAAAGUUCUUUCGGUGACGAGGAAGGUUGAUAGGUUAAUAGCCUAUCAAAUUGACGUUAAUCACAGAAGAAGCACCGGCUAACUCCGUGCCAGCAGCCGCGGUAAUACGGGGGGUGCGAGCGUUAAUCGGAAUAACUGGGCGUAAAAGGCACGCAGGCGGUGACUUAAGUGAGAUGUGAAAGCCCCGAGCUUAACUUGGGAAUUGCAUUUCAUACUGGGUCGCUAGAGUACUUUAGGGAGGGGUAGAAUUCCACGUGUAGCGGUGAAAUGCGUAGAGAUGUGGAGGAAUACCGAAGGCGAAGGCAGCCCCUUGGGAAUGUACUGACGCUCAUGUGCGAAAGCGUGGGGAGCAAACAGGAUUAGAUACCCUGGUAGUCCACGCUGUAAACGAUGUCGAUUUGGGGAUUGGGCUUUGAGCUUGGUGCCCGUAGCUAACGUGAUAAAUCGACCGCCUGGGGAGUACGGCCGCAAGGUUAAAACUCAAAUGAAUUGACGGGGGCCCGCACAAGCGG